GACAGAGGGUGCAAACGUUGUUCGGAUUUACUGGGCGUAAAGCGCGUGUAGGCGGCUUGGCAAGUCGGAUGUGAAAGCCCACGGCUCAACCGUGGAAGCGCAUCCGAAACGGCCUCGCUCGAGUCUCGGAGAGGAAGGUGGAAUGCUUGGUGUAGAGGUGAAAUUCGUAGAUAUCAAGCAGAACACCUGCGGCGAAGGCGGCCUUCUGGACGAUGACUGACGCUGAGACGCGAAAGCGUGGGGGAGCAAACAGG
rnacentral:rRNA from 1 species